rnacentral:rRNA from 1 species
UAGGGAAUCUUUCGCAAUGGACGCAAGUCUGAAGGAGCAACGCCGCGUGAGUGAAGAAGGAUUUCGGUUCGUAAAACUCUGUUGUUAGAGAAGAACAGCGCAUAGAGUAACUGUUAUGCGUGUGACGGUAUCUAACCAGAAAGCCACGGCUAACUACGUGCCAGCAGCCGCGGUAAUACGUAGGUGGCAAGCGUUGUCCGGAUUUAUUGGGCGUAAAGAGCUGGUAGGCGGUUCGUCGCGUCUGGUGUGAAAGCCCAUCGCUUAACGGUGGGUUUGCGCCGGGUACGGGCGGGCUAGGGUGCAGUAGGGGAGACUGGAAUUCUCGGUGUAACGGUGGAAUGUGUAGAUAUCGGGAAGAACACCAAUGGCGAAGGCAGGUCUCUGGGCUGUUACUGACGCUGAGAAGCGAAAGCGUGGGGAGCGAACAGG